GAUUAUUUGGUGCGUUCACGAAAGCUGAUGGUGGCAUGAGAGUAAAAUAGGACCCGCGCUCAUCUAGCUGCAGCUGAACAAGCGCUUUGAUAGCUGGCAAGCCUUUCCAUUAGGGUUAUGCUUAAAGGAAGUGUUAGAAUUAUGUUGAUUAUUUUCUUUAUGAAAAUAAACAUGUUCUUCUAAGGAAGUUGAAAAAGUGUGGUGUAGAUGUUGGUGUCAGACAGGUCUGACUAACCUCCCAGUGGUGUAACCCAUAGUGAGGUGACCCAGGGCCAAACGCAGGGCUCAUUUCUCCUUUACGGUUCCGUCCUUUGUGGAAGGAAGCCCUGGAGCAAGGACAGACGUGUGCCAUUGACCAGUAGAGGCUCACUUUGGAUCCCAUAGUAGCUGAUGUGAACUCUUUUCACAUUUCACAUUUAGCCUUUUUUCUUUUCUUUUUUUUUAACAGCUUACUUUUCUCAACUUUUUGCUGUUGUUACAAACCAGUUACUAGGCUCAGGGGCCAACAGUAAUUUGCUUAUUGGAGCCAGAUGCAAGGAGUUUUCUAUUCCUUAUCCCAAAUGUUGCCUGUUACAGGAAGUUACUCUUUCUCAGUCAUGUCUUAUAUAAGCCAUGUCUUUUAGGGAUCUUAAAUCACUCAGAACUUUCCAUUUCACUUGAAAUGAGAAACCAUGGCAACAAAAAGGGCAGGAGAUUCCAAAAGUACUCAUAUCAGACAUGGGAGUAUGAUCCUGAGAGUGGAGAUGGGUAAUGAGAGAGAGAAGUCAGCAUGAAGGCCCUUUUGGUACUUGGAACCAAAUAAUACUGACUUUAGUUCUUUCCUGUUGGAUGCCGAAUAGAAAAAUGUACUUACUGAGCCUUUUGAUGCAGUGACUUCUGGCCUCUCUGGGACUGAGGCACCUCGGCCUUGCACUCCCACCAUGAAUUUUUCUGUUUCAUUGUUACUGAUCUCAGCCUGAUGAAAAGGACUUUAAAGAACUGGACUAGCCUUUUUGGUUUUCUCAUACCUCAUGUUUGAUCACUAGCCAGAUGUGAUUUCUUGGAAACUGACUGCAUUUUCUGACUUGCAGUAUGAAGCAAGCUAUUGAGGGUGAAUGGCCAUGUCUUGUGUUACACUGAAUUUUGUGGCAAAUGUAAAGAGGAAAUAGAUUCUACUGGGAAUUAAAAUGAUUGUGUUCCAUUCUUCUUUGGGGGUAGGAGUUGUUUAGCCUGGUCUCCAAAAAAUACAGCUUUUCAUCAUGGUCUUUAUAAACUAAUACUACUCCUUUAUGAACCUGCAUACCCAUAAGUUUUAUAGGGCAAAAGAAAAUGAGGAACCAGUGACUCUGAGGAUGUUACUGGGUAAGAAGCUGAGACAGCUGAGCCAUGUCCUGAGGCAUCUUUCUUAUUUUCUUUGUGUCCACUGCAAAGUGUCACUUUCAUUUCAAAGUGUUUGCAUCUAUUCCUAUCCUAUUAGCUCUUAGAGAGGAAGAGAAAUCAAUUCCAAUCACACUUUACCAUGAUGGAAGAUGUUUCCUCAUGAAAAAAAAUGCCAAUACAGAUUUUUAAAAAUCUAUUCCAAAUGCACUUUUUAAUUUUUUGCUUUUAAAAUGGCUUCUUGGAACCAGGUUUAUUGUAUUUGUACUUCAUUUUUGUUCUCAUCUAAAUGUGCAUUUUCUGACUGUAUAGAAGAAGCUUUGUUAUGUAAUUUAAUAAUAAAUUAGAAAUC
ensembl:lncRNA